rnacentral:rRNA from 1 species
GCUUGCUUCUUGGGGUUGUAGGACACUCUAUACGGAGUUACAAAAGAAAGUUAUAAAUGAAGCGGUCUGGAAAGGCCCGCCAAAGACGGUAACAGCCCGGUAGUUGAAAUGGCUUUCCCUCCAGAGUGGAUCCUGAGUACGGCGGAACACGUGAAAUUCCGUCGGAAUCCGGGAGGACCAUCUCCCAAGGCUAAAUACUCCCUAGUGACCGAUAGUGAACCAGUACCGUGAGGGAAAGGUGAAAAGCACCCCGGAAGGGGAGUGAAACAGUUCCUGAAACCGUGUGCCUACAAGUAGUUAGAGCCCGUUAAUGGGUGAUAGCGUGCCUUUUGUAGAAUGAACCGGCGAGUUACGAUUUGUUGCAAGGUUAAGCGGAAAAAGCGGAGCCGUAGCGAAAGCGAGUCUGAAUAGGGCGCAUAAGUAACAGGUCGUAGACCCGAAACCAGGUGAUCUACCCAUGUCCAGGAUGAAGGUAAGGUAAUACUUACUGGAGGUCCGAACCCACGCACGUUGAAAAGUGCGGGGAUGAGGUGUGGGUAGCGGAGAAAUUCCAAUCGAACUUGGAGAUAGCUGGUUCUCUCCGAAAUAGCUUUAGGGCUAGCCUCGAGGUAAAGAGUCAUGGAGGUAGAGCACUGUUUGGACUAGGGGCCCUUCUCGGGUUACCGAAUUCAGAUAAACUCCGAAUGCCAUGUACUUAUACUCGGGAGUCAGACUGCGAGUGAUAAGAUCCGUAGUCGAAAGGGAAACAGCCCAGACCACCAGUUAAGGUCCCCAAAUAUAUGUUAAGUGGAAAAGGAUGUGGGGUUGCUUAGACAACCAGGAUGUUGGCUUAGAAGCAGCCACCAUUGAAAGAGUGCGUAAUAGCUCACUGGUCGAGUGACCCCGCGCCGAAAAUGUACCGGGGCUAAACAUAUUACCGAAACUGUGGAUGAACCUCUUUAGAGGUUCGUGGUAGGAGAGCGUUCUAAGGGCGGUGAAGUCAGACCGGAAGGACUGGUGGAGCGCUUAGAAGUGAGAAUGCCGGUAUGAGUAGCGAAAGAAGGGUGAGAAUCCCUUCCACCGAAUAUCUAAGGUUUCCUGAGGAAGGCUCGUCCGCUCAGGGUUAGUCGGGACCUAAGCCGAGGCCGAUAGGCGUAGGCGAUGGACAACAGGUAGAGAUUCCUGUACCAGUGCUAAUUGUUUAACCGAUGGGGUGACACAGAAGGAUAGGGAAUCGCACGAAUGGAAAUGUGCGUCCAAGCAGUGAGUGUGAGAAGUAGGCAAAUCCGCUUCUCGCGAAGCAUGAGCUGUGAUGGGGAAGGAAAUUAAGUACGGAAGUUCCUGAUUUCACGCUGUCAAGAAAAGCCUCUAGGAAGAGUAGUACUGCCCGUACCGCAAACCGACACAGGUAGAUGAGGAGAGAAUCCUAAGGUGAGCGAGAGAACUCUCGUUAAGGAACUCGGCAAAAUGACCCCGUAACUUCGGGAGAAGGGGUGCUCUAUUAGGGUGCAAGCCCGAGAGAGCCGCAGUGAAUAGGCCCAGGCGACUGUUUAGCAAAAACACAGGUCUCUGCAAAACCGUAAGGUGACGUAUAGGGGCUGACGCCUGCCCGGUGCUGGAAGGUUAAGAGGAGUGCUUAGCUUCGGCGAAGGUACGAAUUGAAGCCCCAGUAAACGGCGGCCGUAACUAUAACGGUCCUAAGGUAGCGAAAUUCCUUGUCGGGUAAGUUCCGACCCGCACGAAAGGCGCAACGAUCUGGGCACUGUCUCAACGAGAGACUCGGUGAAAUUAUAGUACCUGUGAAGAUGCAGGUUACCCGCGACAGGACGGAAAGACCCCGUGGAGCUUUACUGCAACCUGAUAUGGAAUGUUUGUACCGCUUGUACAGGAUAGGUAGGAGCCGAAGAGACGUGUGCGCUAGCAUACGAGGAGGCAAUGGUGGGAUACUACCCUGGCUGUAUGACCAUUCUAACCCGCCACGCUUAGCGCGUGGGGAGACAGUGUCAGGUGGGCAGUUUGACUGGGGCGGUCGCCUCCUAAAGAGUAACGGAGGCGCCCAAAGGUUCCCUC